rnacentral:rRNA from 1 species
AGCAGCCGCGGUAAUUCCAGCUCCAAUAGCGUAUAUUAAAGUUGUUGCAGUUAAAAAGCUCGUAGUUGAAUUUCGGGAUCAAGGAAUCGGUCAUGCCUCGGUAUGUACUGGUUUUAUUGGUUCUCACCUUCUAAAGAACCAUGAUGUCAUUCAUUUGAUGUUAUGGGGAAUUAGGACCGUUACCUUGAAAAAAAUUAGAGUGUUUAAAGCAAGCUUACGCUUGAAUACAUUAGCAUGGAAUAAUGAAAUAGGACAUCCGAUUCUAUUUUGUUGGUUUCUAGGAUCGAUGUAAUGAUUAAUAGGGAUAGUUGGGGGCAUUUAGUAUUCAAUUGUCAGAGGUGAAAUUCUUGGAUUUAUUGAAGACUAACUACUGCGAAAGUAUUUGCCAAGGAUGUUUUCAUUAAUCAAAGAACGAAAGUUAGGGGAUCGAAGACGAUCAGAUACCGUCGUAGUCUUAACCCAUAAAACCUAUUGCCGACUAGGGAUCGGAUGAUGUUUAUUUUUAGUGACUCAUUCGGCU